GGAGGAAAGUAGGGGAUCGCAAGACCUUGCACUUUUGGAGCGGCCGAUGUCUGAUUAGCUAGUUGGUGGGGUAAAGGCCUACCAAGGCGACGAUCAGUAGUUGGCCUGAGAGGACGACCAGCCACACUGGGACUGAGACACGGCCCAGACUCCUACGGGAGGCAGCAGUGGGGAAUUUUGGACAAUGGGCGCAAGCCUGAUCCAGCAAUGCCGCGUGAGUGAAGAAGGCCUUCGGGUUGUAAAGCUCUUUCAGCCGGGAAGAAAAGGUUGCGAUUAAUAAUCGCAAUUUAUGACGGUACCGGAAGAAGAAGCACCGGCUAACUACGUGCCAGCAGCCGCGGUAAUACGUAGGGUGCGAGCGUUAAUCGGAAUUACUGGGCGUAAAGGGUGCGCAGGCGGUUUUGUAAGUCAGAUGUGAAAUCCCCGGGCUUAACCUGGGAACUGCGUUUGAAACUACAAGGCUAG
rnacentral:rRNA from 1 species